rnacentral:lncRNA from 1 species
UUCUUUCGAUUUGUUCUUUACUAACGGACCCGAACCCAGAUGAUCCCUUGGUUCCGGAGAUUGCGCACAUGUACAAGACCGACAGGCACAAGUACGAGACCACCGCGAGGAGCUGGACCCAGAAAUACGCCAUGGGCUAAGCACUCAAAACUAGUUAAAUCGGAGAUCGUCGUGGGUGUCUCCGUAUCCAUGUCUUAAAACUUUGUGGUGCCCCUUCUGCUUCUCAGUCAAUAUUAUGUAUAAGUUCAACCAGU